rnacentral:tRNA from 1 species
GGAGAGGUCGCAUAGCGGACUAGUGCAAUGGUCUUGAAAACCAUCGUGGCAGCAAUGUCACCGUGGGUUCGAAUCCCACCCUCUCCGCCA